rnacentral:rRNA from 1 species
GACGAACGCUGGCGGCGUGCUUAACACAUGCAAGUCGAGCGGUAAGGCCCUUUCGGGGGUACACGAGCGGCGAACGGGUGAGUAACACGUGGGUGACCUGCCCUUAGCUCUGGGAUAAGCCUGGGAAACUGGGUCUAAUACCGGAUAUGACUCCAUAACGCAUGUUGUGGGGUGGAAAGCCUUGUGCGGCUAGGGAUGGGCCCGCGGCCUAUCAGCUUGUUGGUGGGGUGAUGGCCUACCAAGGCGACGACGGGUAGCGGCCCCU